UGAGUAACCUGCCCUUAACUCUGGGAUAAGCCUGGGAAACUGGGCCUAAUACCGGAUAUGACUCCUCAUCGCAUGGUGGGGGGUGGAAAGCUUUAUUGUGGUUCUGGAUGGACUCGCGGCCUAUCAGCUUGUUGGUAAGGUAAUGGCUUACCAAGGCGACGACGGGUAGCUGGUCUGAGAGGAUGGCCAGCCACAUUGGGACUGAGAUACGGCCCAGACCUCCGUACGGGAGGCAG
rnacentral:rRNA from 1 species